CAAUAAAAAAAAAAAAGUAACAAUGUGAUUUUGAUUCAACAUCUUGCUUGCACUCUCAGUGCAACACAACAACAACUGACUUAAAGGCAUACUCCAUCCCAAAAUGGAAAUUGUCAUUAUUCACUUACCCCCAUGUCGUUCCAAACCCGUAAAAGUUUUGUUUGUCUUCGGAACACAAUUUAAGAUAUUUUGGAUGAAAAAAGGGAGUCUUGAGACUAUCCCAGUAUUCCCGUCGCUUCAUAACUUAAUUAAAAAUCUAUUUAAUUGCAAAUUUAGUUUCCCACCCACACCAACACAGAGAGAAAGACACAAGAAAUCUCAAAUGGCGUUUUAUUACAUUAAAAGCUAAGCCUUUUAAAAAAAAAACAAAUAUCCAAAUCACAAUCUCCUCCUCAACCCAGCAGAGACAAUAAAACCAUAACUUGUCCAAUAUUCUGCCCAGGGUAAUACCAAAGUCCGGUCUGAAAUCAGCCCAGUGAUUCCCCUGCCACUGGUAAAAAUAAAUGUCUGUUUCAGUAGGAUCUCAAAUGACCGGCUUCAACCGAAUCCAGGACCAGGAUCUCCACAGCGCCGCCCCGCGUCUGUCAGUGGGAAAUCAGAAAAAGUAAUUGGGUAGUUUGCACGUAGCCGACAACUGCCAAAACUCAGAUGAAUGGAAUAACAACUUUCCUUUCCUAUACUUCAAAUGGACACAUCAGCAAUACUAUCGUGUCUGCCACUCUGCCGUCGGCUCCCCCGAAUCUGUCACCUUUACAGAGAUGAACAACUAAGAACGACUCCUUUAACACAAUGCUAAGCACACACACACGCGUGCAUUAGCGUGGAAAAAAGAAAGAAUCACUUUCCUUCAAUCGGGGGUUCGUGAGCGUUGACACUGCAGAAUCCGAGAUUCCGUUCUACCAGCGUACAGGAGAUCCAGUCAGCAACAACACAGAGCGGCGAGAUCAGUGAGCGCCCACCCGCUUCAGUACACGGCUCGUUCCUCCGUCCAGAGCGUUCCCCCGGUAAGAGAUCUAGCUCCCUUUUUAUCCGAAUGACUUGAUCAGCUGGCAAAUUAGAUCGCUGAUGUAAACGGGGUUGUACAUGUGUGUCAAUUAGUGUUUGUUGUUGCAGUUUGUGAAGGAGGAAAAACGACACCAAAAAUCCAAAACACCACAGCAAACAAGAGAAAAACCACAGCACACCAUACAAUUAAUCCACAACAAACAAAUAUAUAUAUAAAAAAGGUUAAGAGUACACAUUGCUAUAACAAAAUCAUUUUCCCACAAAAUAAGGUUAACCCUCAAAUCACACUGCUCCACUUGUUUUAUAAUAUAUAACAAUGGCAGAUGGACUAUUCUGACGAUGCUUUUCAUACUUUCCUGGACCUUGACACUGUUAUUUAUUUGGCAGUCUAUGGGACAGUCUCAAGCCGAUUUUCAUCCAAAAUAUCUUAAAAUUGUGUUCCGAAGACGAACAAAGCUUUUACGGAUUUGGAACGACAUGGGGGGGCCAAGCACCAAAGGGGCGUAUUAUUGAGAUGUUUUUUUUGAAAGUCUGGACAGCAAAAAGAAAAGGAAAGGAAAGGAAAGGAAAGGAAAGGAAAGGAAAGGAAAGAAUACUCCAGGGACUGAGGGUGUUGUUGGUGCAUCCGUGACAGUUCCCUCUCCCCCACGGGCGUCUCCAGACGUCCGAGAACCACGAUGACGAGGGUGACCUCCGGGUGGAGUUGGUGGUAGCCAUCACAUAACAAAGGGCCACCAAUACCUUCCCUCGAGGAGUGAGAGGGUUCGCUGCCUGCCUGGAUAACCGGAUCCCGGAGACGCAUGUACAGAGUCCAGAAGGGAAAUUCGGAAAGAGGUUGGUGCAUUUGUUCUACCUUCUGGACCUCCCGGUGGAGCAGGAUCUUCUUCGGUGGCGGCAUGGAUGUCGUCGUCGAGAGACCAGAUGAUGGGAAAUACAAAUAGGUCUGGAGGGAGCAACGGUUCCGGUUCUGGUUCCACAGAUACAGGGUUGGGUGAGUGGAUUCUGGAUAGAGCAUCAGCUUUCAUAUUCUUAUGACAUGGACGGUAGUUGACUAUGAAGUUGAAUCGAGUGAAGAAUAAUACCCAUCGAUCCUGUCUGGGGUUUAGGCGCUUUGCUUCUCUGAGGUACUGUAAGUUUUUAUGGUCAGUAAUGACUUCAAAUGGAUGAUUUGCUCCCUCCAGCCAGUGCCGCCACUCUUCAAGGGCAAGCUUAAUGGAUAGCAGUUCUCAGUUACUGAUGUCAUAGUUCUGCUCUGCCGGGGAUAGUUUUUAGAGAAGUAGACACAUGGAUGGAGUACUGGGGGCUUACCUCUCCACUGGGAUAACAUUGCUCCCACUCCAAGGGAUGAAGUGUCCACUUUAAUGAUGAAGGGUCUUGUUGGGUCUGGGUGCCAGUGAGCUGGAUAAGUGCAGAAGGCGGCUUUUAGCUUCUGGGAGGCUUUGACUGCAUCCGGUGUCCAACA
ensembl:lncRNA